CUGAUGCUAACUCUCUGUCUUCCUAGCUCCCCCUGAGGGCCUGCUGGAGGAACUUCUAAGUGCCAAGGCCAUAGAGCACACUCCAUUUACUUACACCAAGCCAAUCCCAAGAGCAAGCAACAAUGGUAAGUAUUCUGAAGUCAUACACUUGCUGAGAAAAAGUCCAA
rnacentral:lncRNA from 1 species